rnacentral:rRNA from 1 species
UAGUCCACGCCGUAAACGAUGUCGAUUUGGAGGUUGUGCCCUUGAGGCGUGGCUUCCGGAGCUAACGCGUUAAAUCGACCGCCUGGGGAGUACGGCCGCAAGGUUAAAACUCAAAUGAAUUGACGGGGGCCCGCACAAGCGGUGGAGCAUGUGGUUUAAUUCGAUGCAACGCGAAGAACCUUACCUGGUCUUGACAUCCACAGAACUUUCCAGAGAUGGAUUGGUGCCUUCGGGAACUGUGAGACAGGUGCUGCAUGGCUGUCGUCAGCUCGUGUUGUGAAAUGUUGGGUUAAGUCCCGCAACGAGCGCAACCCUUAUCCUUUGUUGCCAGCGGUUAGGCCGGGAACUCAAAGGAGACUGCCAGUGAUAAACUGGAGGAAGGUGGGGAUGACGUCAAGUCAUCAUGGCCCUUACGACCAGGGCUACACACGUGCUACAAUGGCGCAUACAAAGAGAAGCGACCUCGCGAGAGCAAGCGGACCUCAUAAAGUGCGUCGUAGUCCGGAUUGGAGUCUGCAACUCGACUCCAUGAAGUCGGAAUCGCUAGUAAUCGUAGAUCAGAAUGCUACGGUGAAUACGUUCCCGGGCCUUGUACACACCGCCCGUCACACCAUGGGAGUGGGUUGCAAAAGAAGUAGGUAGCUUAACCUUCGGGAGGGCGCUUACCACUUUGUGAUUCAUGACUGGGGUGAAGUCGUAAAAAGGUAACAAAAAAGGGCAGGGGGG